AUGGAGCCGACCUUGAAAUACCACCCUUUAAUGUUUGAUGUUCUAACGUUGACCCGUAAUCCGGGUUGCGGACAGUGUCUGGUGGGUAGUUUGACUGGGGCGGUCUCCUCCUAAAGAGUAACGGAGGAGCACGAAGGUUGGCUAAUCCUGGUCGGACAUCAGGAGGUUAGUGCAAUGGCAUAAGCCAGCUUGACUGCGAGCGUGACGGCGCGAGCAGGUGCGAAAGCAGGUCAUAGUGAUCCGGUGGUUCUGAAUGGAAGGGCCAUCGCUCAACGGAUAAAAGGUACUCCGGGGAUAACAGGCUGAUACCGCCCAAGAGUUCAUAUCGACGGCGGUGUUUGGCACCUCGAUGUCGGCUCAUCACAUCCUGGGGCUGAAGUAGGUCCCAAGGGUAUGGCUGUUCGCCAUUUAAAGUGGUACGCGAGCUGGGUUUAGAACGUCGUGAGACAGUUCGGUCCCUAUCUGCCGUGGGCGCUGGAGAACUGAGGGGGGCUGCUCCUAGUACGAGAGGACCGGAGUGGACGCAUCACUGGUGUUCGGGUUGUCAUGCCAAUGGCACUGCCCGGUAGCUAAAUGCGGAAGAGAUAAGUGCUGAAAGCAUCUAAGCACGAAACUUGCCCCGAGAUGAGUUCUCCCUGACCCUUUA
rnacentral:rRNA from 1 species